rnacentral:rRNA from 1 species
GACGAACGCUGGCGGCGUGCUUAACACAUGCAAGUCGAGCGGUAAGGCCUCUUUGGGGGUACACGAGCGGCGAACGGGUGAGUAACACGUGGGUGACCUGCCCUCAGCUCUGGGAUAAGCCUGGGAAACUGGGUCUAAUACCGGAUAUGACCUUGCCUCGCAUGGGGUGGGGUGGAAAGUCCUGGGCUUGAUUGUCUGGGCUCGGCUGGGGAUGGGCCCGCGGCCUAUCAGCUGGUUGGUGGGGUGAUGGCCUACCAAGGCGACGACGGGUAGCCGGCCUGAGAGGGCGACCGGCCACACUGGGACUGAGACACGGGCCCAGACUCCUACGGGAGGCAGCAGUGGGAAUAUUGCGCAAUGGGCGGAAGCCUGACGCAGCGACGCCGCGUGGGGAUGACGG